AGAAGGCGCUCCUUGAGGAAGACCUGGAUGCCGUCCGAUCGCCAGGGCCUUCAACGGUUGGAGGAAUCUACUGGUUUGGCGUUCAGGUUUGUUAUUGGUAGAACUAAUGAUAAAUCAAAGAUGGUAAAACUCAAGAAGGAAGUUGCAGAAUAUGAUGAUUUCUUGCUUUUGGACAUUGAGGAACAGUAUAGUAAGCUCCCCUAUAAAACUUUAGCUUUCUUUAAAGCUGCCUAUGCGCUUUUUGAUUCCGAGUUUUACGUUAAAGCAGACGAUGACAUAUACCUGAGGCCAGAUCGUCUCUCUAUACUCUUGGCAAAAGAGCGUACUCACUCUCAAACUUACCUUGGAUGCAUGAAGAAAGGG
rnacentral:misc_RNA from 1 species